rnacentral:rRNA from 1 species
UACGUAGGGUGCGAGCGUUAAUCGGCAUUACUGGGCGUAAAGCGUGCGCAGGCGGCUCUAUAAGACAGAUGUGAAAUCCCCGGGCUUAACCUGGGAACUGCGUUUGUGACUGCACGGCUAGAGUACGGCAGAGGGGGGUGGAAUUCCUGGUGUAGCAGUGAAAUGCGUAGAGAUCAGGAGGAACAUCGAUGGCGAAGGCAGCCCCCUGGGCCUGUACUGACGCUCAUGCACGAAAGCGUGGGGAGCAAACAGG